rnacentral:lncRNA from 1 species
AUAAUAGUUAAAUUAUGAUUUUUUGUUUUAUAACCGUCGAAAAGUUUUGUCCUGUUACUUGAUCUCUGAAUGUUUGUUUUUUGUAAUUUUUGGCAUAUGCGAUUGCGAAGUAUAUACAAACAUGUUUGACGGUUGGAUCGUUGAAAUUAGUUUCGUAGAAUGCGUGUAUCUCAUCAAUACAAUAGAUUCACUAACACUUAAAAGUUUAUUCAUACUUUCAUUAAGUAUAACAUAAGAUUUUUUGGUAUCCACUAGUGUAUUCAUAUAGGAUCAAGGAGUGUAGUUGCAAAAAAUCAUCAAAAUCGGAGUUCAAAUGACCGUUAAAUUGUGAUUUUUCUUUUUAUAACCGUCGAAAAGUUUUGUCCCGUUACUUGAUCUCUGAAUGUUUGUUUUUGCAAUUUUUGGCGUAUGCGAUCUCGAAGUAUAUAUAAACAUGUUUGACGGUUGAAUCAUUGAAACUAGUUUCGUAGAAUGAGUAUCCCAUCAAAAUAAUAGAUUCACUACUACUUAAGAGUUUAUUCAUACUUUAAUUAAGUAUAAAUCUUAGUGUAAAUAUUUUAAAUUGAAGAUCGAAUUCAUUCAUUGUAUUCAUAUAGGAUCAAGGAGUGUAGUUGUAAAAAAUUAUCAAAAUCGGAGUUAAAAUAACCUUUAAAUAGUGACUUUUCGUUUAUAACCGUAAAAAAGUUUUGUCCCGUUACUUGAUCUUUGAAUUUUUUUUUUGCAAUUUUUGGCGUAUGUGAUCUUGAAGUAUAUACAAACAUGUUUGAUGGUUGGAUCAUUGAAACUAGUUUCGUAGAAUGAGUAUCCCAUCAAAACAAUAGAUUCACUAAUACUUAAGAGUUUAUCCACUAGUGUAAAUAUUUUAAAUUGAAGAUCGAAUUCAUUCAUUGUAUUCAUAUAGGAUUAAGGAGUGUAGCUAUUAAAAAUAAUCAAAAUUGGAGUUAAAAUAACCGUUAAAUCAUGAUUUUUUGUUUUAUAACCAUCGAAAAGUUUUGUUCGGUUACUUGAUCUCUGAAUGUUUGUUUUUUGCGAUUUUUUGCUGAUACGAUCUCGAAGCAUAUACAAACAAGUUUAACGGUUGGAUCGUUGAAAUUAGUUUUGUAUAAUUCUUAUCCCAUCAAGUUCAAUGGUGUGUAUAUAUAUUAAGUAGAUUUAAAUCUAUUUAUUUUGUACGUCUAAUUGACUGGUACACGGAGUAGUACAUCACGUAAAAAAAUAAAAUUUCUCACCACUUUUAUUAAUUUUCAUUUUUCCCUCUUUUUUGUUUCUUUUUCAUCUUUUCUUAUAAUUUUCAUUUUUCCAUCCCUUCUUUUUCUUCAAAGGGCGGCAGCCUACCCAUCUUUCCCUCUCUUUUUUGUUUCCUUUUCAGCUUUUCUUAUAAUUUUCAUUUUCCCUCCCUUUUUCUUCAAAGGG